rnacentral:rRNA from 1 species
AGAGUUUGAUUCUGGCUCAAGGAUGAACGCUAGCGAUAGGCCUAACACAUGCAAGUCGAGGGGCAGCACAUGAGUAGCAAUACGAUGGUGGCGACCGGCGCACGGGUGAGUAACACGUAUGCAACUACCUUUAACAGGGGAAUAACCCGUUGAAAAACGGACUAAUACUCCAAUAACACAGGGGUCCCGCAUGGGAAUAUUUGUUAAAGAUUAAUCGGUUGAAGAUGGGCAUGCGUUCCAUUAGCUUGUUGGUGAGGUAACGGCUCACCAAGGCCACGAUGGAUAGGGGAACUGAGAGGUUUAUCCCCCACACUGGAACUGAGACACGGUCCAGACUCCUACGGGAGGCAGCAGUGAGGAAUAUUGGUCAAUGGGGGCAACUCUGAACCAGCCAAGUCGCGUGAAGGAAUGAAGGUCUUAUGGAUUGUAAACUUCUUUUGCAAGGGAAUAAAGUGGGGACGUGUCCUCCUUUGCAUGUACCUUGCGAAUAAGGAUCGGCUAACUCCGUGCCAGCAGCAGC